UUCGCUGCUUUUUCUUGAGCAGAUGAAGAUACUUCCAACAGGAUAUUUCGUUUUCUAUUUACUUUGAGUUUGUCUUUUACGAUCUUCUUAAUAUUUACUAUUUCAUUUACUAGUGUAGUUUGCUUUUGGGAUCAUCUUGAUAUUUCAUGUUAAACAGAAGUAAUUCAAUCCCUUGUUAUUGUUUUUCUCUGGACGGUACUCCAAAAC
rnacentral:lncRNA from 1 species